AGUGAACGCUGGCGGUAGGCCUAACACAUGCAAGUCGAACGGCAGCACAGUAAGAGCUUGCUCUUACGGGUGGCGAGUGGCGGACGGAUGAGGAAUACAUCGGAAUCUACUUUUUCGUGGGGAUAACGUAGGGAAACUUACGCUAAUACCGCAUACGACCUACGGGUGAAAGCAGGGGAUCUUCGGACCUUGCGCGAUUGAAUGAGCCGAUGUCGGAUUAGCUAGUUGGCGGGAUAAAGGCCCACCAAGGCGACGAUCCGUAGCUGGUCUGAGAGGAUGAUCAGCCACACUGGAACUGAGACACGGUCCAGACUCCUACGGGAGGCAGCAGUGGGGAAUAUUGGACAAUGGGCGCAAGCCUGAUCCAGCCAUACCGCGUGGGUGAAGAAGGCCUUCGGGUUGUAAAGCCCUUUUGUUGGGAAAGAAAAGCAGCAGGUUAAUACCCCGCUGUUCUGACGGUACCCAAAGAAUAAGCACCGGCUAACUUCGU
rnacentral:rRNA from 1 species